UGCUCAGUCGUCCAUAGAUCCAACACCUAAGAAAUAUGCAAUGUACGUUUCGUUUCUUGGUAAGAUUUGGGUGAGAGCUUUAAGAAUUUUGGUUCUUCCUUUGAUUGUAUCCAGCCUGCUUUUGUCAGUCGCUGAAUUGGAGUCAAAACAGAGCGGAAAAUUGGGAAGAAGAACAUUGCUGUAUUAUCUUAUGACUACAAUGUUUGGGGAGUAAUUUGUUUAUUUGCAUUUAACCUGGAAAUGUUAACGUGAAAGAACCAGAACCGAACGAAGAAAACGUUGAACCAAUACAUUCUGUGCUUGAUCUAAUAAGGCUCUUGUCCACUGCUCACUGCGAAAUUUAACUGUGAAGUGUUAAGUAAAGAAAGGGUUGCUGAAUGCUUUGUAGCUGAUCUUCAAAGUGGGAUUGUAAAUGGCUUGCUGUGACAACACAAUGGCCACUGGCUGAGGAAUGACACCGAAAAAGCUUUUUUAUGUCAACAAUAAACGAUGUAAGGUGGUAGAAGUUGGUCAAUUGUUUAUAUAUUUUUAUUUUAUGCAAAGUAAAGAUAAAAGCGGAAA